rnacentral:rRNA from 1 species
UACGUAGGGACCAAGCGUUGUUCGGAUUUACUGGGCGUAAAGAGCGUGUAGGCGGUUCGGUAAGUCUGUCGUGAAAUCCUGAGGCUCAACCCUGGGAUGCCGGUCGAUACUGCCGGACUAGAGUUCGGAAGAGGCGAGUGGAAUUCCCGGUGUAGCGGUGAAAUGCGCAGAUAUCGGGAGGAACACCAAUGGCGAAGGCAGCUCGCUGGGACGUUACUGACGCUGAGACGCGAAAGCGUGGGGAGCAAACAGG